UCUGUCUCCAGUAAUUUCAUAUACUUGCUCAAUUUUUUGGUUCUUGCCUUCUCAAGUGUAGCAGCAGCGUAAUCUUUCAUUGCAGAUGCCUUCUCCUUUCUUGCUUCUGCAGCCAUCUCUAUUGCAGCUGAUUUUCUUGCUAUGGCAUCAUGAUAUAGUUGCAUACUUGGAUCUGGCAGGUUGCUUGAAGAAGAGUCGGCCUUUGCUGGUGCCUUUCCUUUGCGUUUUGCGCCCUUCUGUCCCGGAGGACGACGUUCCAAUGGUCUGUCCACUGAUUCUUCAACAUCUUUACUAGAAGAAGAAAUGUAAGCCCCUGUUUCUGAGGUCUUGCCUCUCUUUCUCGCUUCAUCCUUCUCUAGUAAGUAAGUAUUUUUCCACUUUGGCAUUUCUUUCACCAUAUCCCACCAAUAUUCUAGCGUGAAUCUUUUUUUGUAUUUCUCCUUGUAAUCUGCUCUUACCAUAUCCAUAAACAUAUUGUCAUCAUACCCACUAGAUACACACUGCGUUGCACGGAAUGACACCCAGCAAACUGAGUCACAAAUUUGUUUUGCUUACUCCAAUGGUCUUUCAACAUCUUGGCAGAUCUUUGCCUCUCUUUCGGAGUGACGCUGUUGUAGUCUUUCUCAACUGCUUUCCAAUACUGGUCUGAUUUCUUGGAGUUACCAUCUACAGGAUCGAGAGAAUUUUCCAACCAAGCAUUGACAAGCCGCUUAUUUUCUUCCUCUGUCCAGUUUCUCCUCUUAGCAAUAGGUUCUUCUGCUUCACCGGGACUACUUCCACUUGACUCUUGCUGAUCUACUUCUUCUGCCCUAUGUAUUGAUGCAGGAGGCUGAGGCGAAUAAUGAAAAUAUCCGGCAUCUUGGUUGAUCCUAGCAUGUGGAUCAAUCCCGAUGAAGCCGGCGGCUGCAGAAGAUGAAUGACCAUAUGAACCUCCUCCAUACACUCCAUGUGCUGCUUGGAAACCUGAGGUGUGUGGAGGUGGAAAUGGAUACAUGUUCUGUACAUACAUGGGAUGAAAAUAUUGCCCAUGCUGAGAGGAUGAAGCACUUGUGAACUGGUGAGGUGGGGUGGCAGAUGGGGUAUAGUUUCGAUUUUCUGGAUCUUGGCUUGAGCAACUAUUGAGCAUCCUAGUGAAAUUUCCUGGAGAGUGCUCCAUGAAUGUGAAGUUUUUUGAGGUGUCUAGGCUCCCAGUUGGUUUGGGUGUGUGCAAACUUAUUGUUCAAAGCCCUAGUAUAUAUACUGAUAGAUGUGUGUAUGCACACACUUGUUGUAACGGCCAUAAUUUGUUGUUUAUUAUUAUUUUUAAAUGCAACGGUUGUAUUGGAUUGGAUGUGUAUGCUCAGAACAAACUGAGCUUUGCCAGUUUGCACUGUAUAACGGUUGCCCUUGGCUUGCUAGGCAACGGCUGGUGUGUUUAGCUUUCAACUGCCAUCUUUAAAUAAUAUUAUUU
rnacentral:lncRNA from 1 species